rnacentral:rRNA from 1 species
GGGCUUUUUUUGGCAAGUCUGGUGCCAGCAGCCGCGGUAAUUCCAGCUCUGAUAGUAUAUAUUAAAGUUGUUGCAGUUAAAAAGCUCGUAGUUGAAACUUGGGUGCGUAGGGGCGGUCUCUUUUAGAGUACUACCCUGAAACAUCUUUCUUUGGUGUAAACUCUUUAUUCACUUAAGGAGUGUAAACCAAACAUUUACUUUGAAAAAAUUAGAGUGUUCAAAGCAGGCCUUUGCUCGAAUAUAUUAGCAUGGAAUAAUAGAAUAGGACGUAUGGUUCUAUUUUGUUGGUUUCUAGGACCGUCGUAAUGAUUAAUAGGGACGGUCGGGGGCAUCAGUAUUCAGUUGUCAGAGGUGAAAUUCUUGGAUUUACUGAAGACUAACUACUGCGAAAGCAUUGCCAAGGACGUUCAUAAUCAGAACGAAUGG